AUUGAACGCUGGCGGCAGGCCUAACACAUGCAAGUCGAACGAGUGGCGGACGGGUGAGUACUGUCUGGGAAACUGCCCGAUUGAGGGGGAUAACUACUGGAACCGGUAGCUAAUAACGCAUACCAUCGGAUGUGCCCAGAUGGGAUUAGCUAGUCGGUGGGGUAACGGCUCACCUAGGCGACGAUCCCUAGCUGGUCUGAGAGGAUGACCAGCCACACUGGAACUGAGACACGGGCCAUACUCCUACGGGAGGCAGCAGUGGGGAAUAUGGCACAAUGGGCGGAAGCCUGAUGCAGCCAUGCCGAGUGUAGGAAGAAGGCCUUAGGGUUGUAAAGUACUUUCAGCGAGGAGGCGUUACUCGCAGAAGAAGCACCGGCUAACUCCGUGCCAGCAGCCGCGGUAAUAC
rnacentral:rRNA from 1 species